GAUGAACGCCAGCGGCAGGCUUAAUACAUGCAAGUCGUGGGGCAGCAUGUCCCGCAGCAAUGCGGGAUGAUGGCGACCGGCAAACGGGUGCGGAACACGUACACAACCUUCCUUUAAGUGGGGAAUAGCCCAGGGAAACUUGGAUUAAUACCACGUAAUAUAUAGAAGCGGCAUCGCUUGUAUAUUAUAGCAGCAAUGCGCUUGAAGCUGGGUGUGCGGCUGAUGAGGUAGUUGGCGGGGUAAUGGCCCACCAAGCCGACGAUCAGUAACUGGUGUGAGAGCACGACCAGUCACACGGGCACUGAGACACGGGCCCGACUCCUACGGGAGGCAGCAGUAAGGAAUAUUGGUCAAUGGACGCAAGUCUGAACCAGCCAUGCCGCGUGGAGGAUGAAGGUCCUCUGGAUUGUAAACUUCUUUUAUCUGGGAAGAAAUCCAUUUUUUCUAAAAUGGUUGACGGUACCAGGUGAAUAAGCACCGGCUAACUCCGUGCCAGCAGCCGCCGUAAAAC
rnacentral:rRNA from 1 species